rnacentral:rRNA from 1 species
UACAGAGGUCUCAAGCGUUGUUCGGAUUCAUUGGGCGUAAAGGGUGCGUAGGCGGCGCGGUAAGUCGGGUGUGAAAUCUUGGAGCUUAACUCCGAAACUGCAUUCGAUACUGCCGUGCUUGAGGACUGGAGAGGAGACUGGAAUUUACGGUGUAGCGGUGAAAUGCGUAGAUAUCGUAAGGAAGACCAGUGGCGAAGGCGGAUCUCUGGACAGUUCCUGACGCUGAGGCACGAAGGCCAGGGGGAGCAAACGGGG